rnacentral:lncRNA from 1 species
UUCUUUCCGACGUUGGAGUCAAGUAAGAAAUUCUGAUUUUCUGGAUCCAUAUCGGCGUAGUGGCUCUUCAUGGCGGCCGGCUUGGUGGGGUAGGGGUAGCUGAAGUCGUUGCUGUUGGAGCUGUAGCUACUGCUGUCCUCGUCGGGAGAGAUGUUGAACUUGCCCAUCUCGGCGCUGCUCAUGUCGCAGGGGCCGCUCUUUUGUCCUUGGCGGCGGGGCGGCCGCGCCUCCUCCUCGGGCUGUGCGGCGGGUCUGUCCCGGACUCCCGUCGAGAUGGAGCGCUCGGCUCUGCGCUGUGCUUCUCGCAAGGAUUAAAAAAAUAAAUAAAUCCUCAGCUACAGAGCGUCAGCGGAGCGAGAAGCGAAGGGAACCCGAAAUAAAUAAAGGCGGGGUACGGUCACUGGGAAAAGCCGUCGGCGCGGAGGGAACAGAGGGGCAACGUUCUCGUAGCGGAGAGGCGCGCGGUGCUGGCUGCGGCGUCGCUCACGGUCUGACGGCCCCUCGGGGCGCCGCCGCUCUUCAGGCAGGAAUGCACCGCGUCAUCGCGAGGGGCGCGGCGCACGCGCUCCCGCCCUCCCGUCGGAGCCGCCACCGCCCCCCGCUCUGCCCGACUGACCCCCUUCCGCCGCACGGGCUGCGGGCGGGGCGCGGCACCGGGAGACCCCAGAGAGGAGGGGGCUGCGUCCCCCGCCCCGCGCUUGGCCCGGGGGGAGGGAGGGGGACUCGCGACGGAGCCCGCCCAUCCGUCGAACCUGUCCUGUCCGCGGUCACCCACGCGGUGUUGAGAACGGGGGCUGCGUGCACGUGCGUGAGCCCGGAUCCAGGGCUGCCACCGGGCGUCUCCUCAGGGAGACAAGAGGGAAUAGCGGCCUCCGGCUGGCGAUGGAGCGUGGGGUGAGAGGGAAAAUGUGCCUUCUCCCUCGCGGGGCAGCUGCUUCGAGGACGGCGGGCACGUAGCGCUCCGCUCCCGCACACGCACUGGGGGCCGUGAGGCGGUGCUCAGACCGCGGGCAGGACGGCUCAGCGGCCGCUCCUUGGCACUCUCGUUUGAGGGCCGGGGUCUCGGAGGCGGUUGUGCCGCCCACGUGAGCCAGGCCCAGGGGGUUCGAGCACCUCGGCCGCCUACGUCGUGUCAGCCCGGCUCGGCGCUUCUCCCCCCGUCCGGGGCACGGCGGGCAGCGCAGCCCAGCUCGGGGCAGCGAGGCUCUCCUCGAGCGGAGCUUCGCCCCUCCACACAGCCCCACCGGGCCCCAUCGCUUUGGACCCCACCGGGGCGCCCGCGACUCCCGCCCUCUGUCGGGCUGGGGCAUGGCCGCCUGGCAGAGCGUCGCCCCGCUGACCCAGGUGCUGAGCCGGCUGAGGCGGCACGACCGUUAGCAGCACAGAACGUUCCAGAGCGCCUCGACCCGAAGAACGAACGGGGAAAAUCGUUGGCAUUCCUAGAUAUUUUGAGGAUUGGAUCCUACUUUGUGGGCAACAGUCGUUACCUACUGAACUUACAAUUCCACUUUUCACCUACAUCUACUCAAAGAAUGGCUUUUAACAGUACCACAUAAAGCCUGUCAAAUCUGAUACUUUAUCCUUGACAGUGGCCAAUAGAAGAUUCUCUGUGACAGAACACAGGAAGAAGCAUGAAAGGAGAGCUGCACAGUUGAUUCUUUAGCAGUAUUUAAGGUUUUUGGUAUGCAUUUGCAUGAACUCGUGCAGAUGAAUGGUGAACUCAUGCAUAGUCUGGUAUUUAGCAUAAGCAGUAUUUGGUAAAGCUUACUUAUGCAUUUACAAAAACUUCCAUUUGUUGAUUUGAGAUCCUCGUGUUUCCCACAUUAAGGGUUGUUCUUUAUGUAUCUUUAUUACACUUCACAUAGUUGUCUUGCUUGGGAGUCAGUUCUUCCAUCUAAUUGAAGCUUUCAUAUGUUCAGCUCCUCUGGAUUCCUUUACUGGAGAAAUGAACAUUGUUACAGGUGUAGAUGUAUAUGUGUGCAGCUAUCGAUGUGUUCUCCUUUGCUAAAGAUAAAUAUUUAAACCUAGACUCUCUUACAAAAUAAGUAUUUAAACCUAGACUCUCUUACAAAAUGGCACCAAGCAGGUUUUAUCUUUGCUCUUCUUUCUCUUCUGCGCUCAGGCUGAUGCAAUAUUUUUGUUGUCAAUCUGAAUAUCCUAAGUUGGCUGGUGGCCACGUGUAGACAACAUGGAGCUGUCUACUAUUAUAUUUUUUAUAUUACUAUUAUAUUUUGGAAAAAAUGUUUUGGUUUUUUGUUAAUAAUAUGUAUGAGCAACAUAUGUAAACAUUUUGAGUGUGGUAAGAAAAAUAAUUCUUCUGAGUGCGGACAGUUCUUAAAAGAGCAAAAUGCACAUCUUCAGUUGUGUCAGGAAUGGAUCAAUUGCUGGCAGAAAUGGGGAGUGGUUGGGUAAACCAGUUUAUGCAGCAUACAAGAAAAAGAUAAACGAGUGGGAAAAUGUUACAUUCAGCACUGUGAAAAGGACAUUUUUGUUUGUAUACAUACCCAAGAAUUUUGUUUCCUGUAAGGACAUUACGCCUUCUGUUUAUCACCUAUGUGCAGAGUGCUUUUACCGUUGCUGAGUCACGGUUUGCUGAAUGACCGACCUCUGCUUCUGCUUGGAGCUGGGAGAUCUCUGCUGUGUAUCAGGUGAGGAGUGUCAACGCCCCUUACUUGGGAAACGAAAGCAUGACACAGCAUUAGAGCUGAGUUCAUUGGAAAUGCUAUAAGCAGGAGGAUGGAAAUGCAUUUAUGCAGCUAUGAGAAGUAAAUCCAAAUCUAUCCUUUAAAUCAUUUACUGGUAGUAAUGACUCAGUGUUAUUUAAAGAGAAUAAUAGUGUUCAUUCCAGCGUAUCAAGCUAGCAGUUUUGCAGUGCAGUAGUUCAGGGUGGAUUUUGCCUGAAUAUUUAAAUAGUGCUAAACCUGAGGGAUAGAUGUUACUCUGCUGGCUAUGUUUUCCCAACAGAGAAAAUAUAUACAUAACUACAGUGGUUAAGUCUAAGUCUCGAUAAUCUUCGGUUUAUGAUACCGAUAUAUAAUCUAUAUUGAAUAGUUCAUGAGGCCAAAAUAAGCUACCAGAAGCUGUAAGCAUUGACUGCCUUUUCAUAAAUGUAGGAGGGUUUUACUAUGGAGCCAUAAAAUAUGUCCAUUCCAUUUGUUUGCCCUUCCUAUAUGAUAUUUUAUAUUUGAAUGUGUAAGCACGUAUGGACUGUGGAAAGCAGAAUCCAGAGUCAAUUUAUGGAAAUAUCUACAGCUAUUACUUACAUUAAAAUCCUUUAAAUAGCUAGCUUAUAUAGCUGCUAGAAGCGUAAUUAGCCCAUAAACAGCUUUGUACUUCACAUUUUGUUUAGCCAUUUACUUUCUUUGUAGAAUGUAUAGGUAUAAUAUUUUAACUGAGACUGAAAGUUACCUUUGACCAUUAAAGAUUUUACUGUAAUUUGUCAUAUAAACCUUCCUCUUUCUGAGAUUUAUUGUACUCCCAUGGUAUGCAGUAAACCUUUUUAUGGAUAAAAAGUUUUCUCACUGUGUUCAGCUUGGGAAUAGUGGUUGUUGCUGUGGAAGUGCUUAUUACACCGUUCUUUUGAUAGCCUUGUUCAGAGUAAAACAAGAGCAUAGCAUGAACUUCAAGUAGUUUGUUUUUUUCUUGAGACCCACUGGUACCUCAGUUACCAUAAUGCUGAGAUGACGCUGUAUGGGCAAGUUUGUCAUCUGUGCAGUGUCGUGCAGUGCCCACAUGUAUGAUCAUGUGCAUGUACUACAGCUUUUGCAGGACAAGACUUGAUGCAUUUUAUGUUGCAGUAUUUCUGAUAGAAAUAAUUUGCUGAAAUUAUAU